AACAGGCAGCGGUAUUGCUAAAUCAAACAUGGAGUUCAAAUCGGAACAACAACCAUGGUUCCCUCAGAAGGAUGUAAAGCAUAAUCGAAACAUAAAAAUAAGUCUCGGAAAGGAAGCUAACCGGUUGCGGCGAGCUCGACCGACGAAUGUGAGUAAGCGUUUCGCCUGAACCGGUUUUGAUCUUCUUGUCCGCUCUUCACCACCAAGAAAAACUAUGGCUUUCUUUUCUCCUUGUCGUCGGCUCCUCUUUCUCUUAGUGAACAGUAACUGUGCUUUAUGUUUUUCAGAAUUCUCCCUUCCUUGUGGGUGAACAGUGGUGGCUAUCUCCAAAAAUUAGGGUUUUUCGGCUCCUCCCCUCAUGAACAGUGGCCACCUAUUAUAUAUGACUGAUCUCCUCUCUGCUAUGUUGCUGUGUCUUCUCAGAGUAGUGGGAAGUGUCUGUACGGAGGUUGGGAAGUUUUUGUCCAUAUUCAGCUUGUGGUCCCCUUCUCAAUUCUCUUCAUUUCCAAAACUUCAUUGUUGUAGCUUCGAUGUGGAUUAAGGUCGUUUUCGGUUCCCUGAUUCUCAUAAUGACAGCAGCAAAACGCUUGGGAUUGUACUCUGCAUUACGAGCUUGUGAUGGGUAUCUUCACAAGACUGAGUUGGCCGACAUGCGGAGGAGCUCCGUUAGCUUGACUUUGGUUCGUUACCAACAAAGCAUUUGAUGUUUGAGAUUGUUAUUGAGCACGCAAUCUUAAUGGCACUUGUUUCUGCAGCAUCAACUGUAGUUGCCACAUUCCAGCAUGGAUUUCAGCACAAGAAAUGAAAAUAUUUUCCAAACAGCAUGUUCAGUAGGUUGAUUUCCUUCACAGGACGUGGGGUAAGAGUUGGCACUGUAAGUAUCUGCACAGAGAACAUGGAUACUAGUGGAUAUCUCUUUAGAUGAAGGUCACUGCCCUCUAUUUCUUGAAUAAUAAGAUAUAUCUAUUGGUUUUCUGUUGACACUGAUGUUCUUUGAGGUUUUAUCAUAAAGUGACAAAGACUCCUUUAAGCUGGUAUCAGAAUUCACCAGAUGACUUCUUAAAGGGCUGUGAUUUUGUUCAUUAUAAACAUGUAGACUAUCUUCGGUUCCCUCAGAAUCACUGUCAGAAUACGAAGUCAGACUAAGUUCUUGAUCACCAAGUGAUAAUUCUGGUUCGCUCCAGCAUGGAUCUGCACUACAUGUGUCAAUGCCAACUCUCUCCGUUUUUAUUUCUUCCUCCAGCAAUUCACCAUCUUCGGAAUCUCGGUCCUCUUCAUCUGGAUGUUAUACUUUAACCACAUCAGGAAUCAUCUCAUUUCUUUCUUGACUAGACGACUCUUCUGAUUUUUUAGCAUUUGCUAGCCGCUCAUCAGAUAGAACAUCGCUUCCACUGGAAGAAUUGCUUUUAUUUCUAUUUUUUCCUGAAAUUAAUCCCCCCACUCCAGAUAACCCGUGUAUGUUGCUUUUGACCGAACCAGAAUCGUUGCUAGGGGAUCCCUGCACCUUGAUCUGUAAAAGAACAUCAGAAUUUAUAUCAUGUCGACGCCUCACCUGAAUGGACGGUUGGCGCUCAAACACACUGUCCUCAACCUGUAUUGCCCUGCCCUUUGGCACCUCACAUUUUGAGGAACGAGAUUGUAAGCUCUCUGAUACAGGUUGAUCAAAUUUCUCCUGUGCGGAUAUCAUAGACAAACGGUACUACUUCCAGGUGUUUUCAUCAAAACCAAAAUUAAAGUAAUCUGUUAUGUCAACUCCAGGAAGUCUCCACGGCUUACCAAAAGGUAUUGGUCUGUACAGAAGUCGAGGCCUCUUCUCUUCUUGCUUUCGAAGAACCUGUCUGGCCAUACAAUUCUUAAUUUGUGACCUUGUUUUAUCGGGACAGUCCUGCCAACAAUUAAGAUCGGCCAGAUACUGUGUUCGAAUGACAACCAUAAAGCCUCUAGGAAUUUAAUGUCAUUGCUCUGUUUACAGAAACUUCAGUUUCCGGCUUAAUCAUAUCGAGCAAAAUAUAAAUAAGAGUGGCCUUUGUUACACUGAAUUCGAAAACCCUGUGCUGCAACUGGUGCUUUACGAGCAACCUGCAGGAGAGACUCCUUGUGUAACCUCAUUAAAUACUAAAGGCAGCUGAUCAACAAAUUUAGUUAAAGAAUUCAGAACUUCCUGCUCACUUUCUUGCAGAACUGACCCGACAGUAUCCAGCAUCAUCUUCCAUGCAUCUCCUUGUGCACUUCUUGCUAAUGACAGAAUAGGAUUUGCUUCCACAAUCGGCAUCAUCUGGCUGACUGCAGGACCCAACUGCUCAAAGUAAGGAACCGCCUCAGUCGUUGGUCUGUUGUUGUAAGCGAUUACAGCAUUUGCCUUUCAUAAGAGAUACAUAUCUUUUCAUCACAUUCCUUGGGUAAUUUCUCAAAAAAUAAGCUUCCUGUGAGUACUUGAAGAAGUGCACCGUUGCUGGAUGCAUGGUGUGAUGUGGUUACCACUCAAUUCUACUUUUUCUACUGUACCGCCGAAAGAAUCGACAUGAGGCGUGAGUGUUUCUUCAAGAAUAUUUGUCUUGUCAAUUGUGUCGGAAUUGAAUUUCACCAAUAAUGUGUGUUUGACAUUGUAUGAAGUUUUAAAGCAAUCACGAUUUUCUGAUGGCGUCGGCUUGAACUCUGAGACUCCUUUGCAUCGGUAUAAUCCAACCGAAUAGUCUGAAUUUUCCCAAGGCAGAAGAGAUAGCGACAAAACUUCUAGUUUGAUCGGUACUUAGACGACUUUCAGUGAUAUCAAAGGCACUACCAAGCUUUUGCUUCCGUCGACGGUAAUAGACACUGUCUUUUUGGAUUUCGACGAGUUUUGGCACCCAGUUGUAUUGCAAGGCAACUUGCAGUUUCGGGGAUUUCUUUUGGCGUAACACCAACUCCUGCUCCAUAAGGUUCAGGCCUGUUCUGAUUGGAAUAAUCUGAAGCAUUGCAAGCUUCCAAGGAUGAAAAACCAUCUCCACAUAGUCCCAAAUUGUAUUCAUACACAAAUUUGUCAUCUAGCCUCUUCAGAGCAGGAGGUACAUUUCCAGAAAGGUUAUUGUUGUGAACAUCAAGAACUUGAAGAAAAGGAGCAUUAGCAAGUCUUGUUGGAAUUGAACCAAAAAGAUUAUUAGAGCUCAAAUCUAGCCUCAUCAACAUUCCUAAGUCACCUAAACUAGCAGGGAUAGCUCCGGCUAAUUUGUUCGACUGUAGAGAAAGAACACUAAGCUUUUUCAAAUCUCCGAGCUGAGUUGGUAUCCUUCCUGUUAACUGGUUAUAAAAAAGCAGCAAAACUUGUAGACUCUCCAUUUUGCCAAACUCAGAUGGGAUUUCACUAGACAAAUGAUUGACAUUCAAGUACAAAUCACUAAGCUCGGUCAAGUUAGCAAUUUCUCUAGGUAUACCACCAUACAAAGAGUUGUAAUGCAAGUAAAGUCCUGUCAAGUGCUUAAGAUCACCAAUGGCUGGUGAUAGUUUACCAGAAUGUCCUAAAAUUCUGAUAACGUAUUAAAUCUCAUGCACGAAUAGUCCCAUCGAGAGAUGCACUGAGCAGGCUAUUGUUAUUUGCCAUAGAAGGCAGAGUUGUAAUAGUAUUAGUGUGCUCAGAAAACGUAACAAAGCAAAAGCCCGAGGAAACAGUCCAAACCUUCACUUUAUUAUCAUCUGCUCCGGUAGCAAGGAGUUGAGAGUCCCGCCAAAAGAACCACCGACAUAAGUCUGACACAAAGAGUAAAGGCCAUCAAAGACAGGAUAGUCUUCACCAACAUUAAACCUCUUCAACUGUCUGAGCUGAUCCUAUUGUGUUUCAGGGGUGGUGAGAUGCCCAGGAUUUCUUCCAAAAGCAGUCCUCAACAAGUCCAAUACCUCCCAGGCAACAGAUUUAGCCAAAUCUAAACUUUGUGAAGAGGUGGCUAUGAUUUCUGCUUCACAUAAACUCAACAGAAUGGAUAGUAUUUUGGCUUUCAGCCUUGAAAUUCCUUCCACGAUCCUAGUUUGAAAAAGAUGAUUGAAUGUUUAACUUCAAGAUAGAUUGAACGAGGAAAAGAAUUCUUCCCUUGCCACAUAGUUCCUUAUUAUUGAGCAGGCGCUCCCUAAACAAUUUUUGCUGGCACAAUGACUGAAUAAAUUGCAGAGAAGCCUCACAUUGCUGGCAAAGAAAAUAUACUACUGGUUCAGAUGAAAGAUUUUAUUCCAUGGAAAAAUCUUUGUAGCAAGCUAUCAAUGUAAUCUCAAGACACCUAACAACCACGCGAACUGAUCCCAAAGCUGCAUCCAUAAAUAAGUCAACCUUCGGGUGUGCAAGCAAAACAUUGGCAAUAUCUUGAAACGGUGUUCAUAUGAACCCUGUUAUUAGAUGUAAACUGCAUGCUAGAAGAGCGGAAUGCGAAAGGUAUGUAAGCCUAAAAGCAUGAUCUUCCUGUCUGUAGGUGCUAAGAAUAGUAAGGAUGUAUAAAACCAAAUCAACCAGUUGUUCCACCACUUUCACAUCAUGUAGAAAAAUUUGAUCAAAUUUAGAAUGUUGAGGGGCUAAAUCACAUAAUGAAUGCAACAGGCGAACACCACAUAACACGUACUAGAACACGUCUUCAUCUCUUCUAGAAAAAAUUAGUAUUGUAGUAAGGUGCAAUAGAAGAGAUCGUGCAAGCUUGCCCAUAUCAACCUUCAGAAGUACUUCUUUUUCAGUAAGGUAGUGAACAGAUAAAUUUCCACUUCCAGAAUCCUUUAUUAAUCUAUAAAGGUCCCGAGAGUUGAGCUGGUGGUAUGCAGAACUAGUUCAGGUUGUUUUUGGUGGGUUUGGGAGGGACGCAACACAACACAAGACAAGGCAGUUAUUCAAGCGGCAGUAGCAGAUACACAAUAACGAUAUCAAAUUUCACUUUCCCUACAACAGGAAAAUCUCCUCCAAAUACAAAUAAUGCCAAGCAUGUCCAGCAGCACCCAACAUUUUGUAUGACUUCACUUUGUUUGCAUUGCAUUGUACUAAUCUCUUGGCAAGAAAAGCCGGCUCCGAAUUCUUUGAUUGAUCAGUUAAUUACUGUUUAGAAUA